AAGGAAGCUAUUUUGGAAGACUAGGUUUGAGAGACAAAAGUCAGUGAAGGUUCCUCCCUACCCCAGUUAAAAAUAGUCACAAACAUUUUCUGUGUAUUUGGCACUACUUCCUUGUGUUUUUUUUUUUUUUUUUUUUUUUUUUUAAUUAUUAUUACUUUAAAUCAAAUCUGUGCUAAGUGACAAAGCAUUGCUGCAGAGCAGCUCUGGCUUUGUUUUGUUUGCUCAUCACUGCUAGUGGGAAAGGAAUACGAAGAAACUAUUGCUGUGUUACAGAAGCGGUUGCUUCAGGAAAACAGACCUUAGCACUCAGGAUAAACACCUGAACAGCUCUCUUGUCCUUGGCCAGUGUCACCAGUGUCUAGUAGCCUCUGAGGUCUAGCAGACAAGAGGCAGAAGUAUUACAGGCCAGUUCCAUCUAAAAUGUAAUCACCUGUGGCUGAUGGAUUAGGACAAGGCAGAGGAAGGUGAAGAAUCUACACAGAUAAUACUGAUUCCCCUGCUAACUAACCAGUAGGCUGUGCUUAUAGCAGAAAGAACUUUUCACAGACCUGUCUUAUCACCUGCUUCCUGUUUUAUUCUUUCAUGGAUGCAACUUUCCCUGCAGGAAGAAGGUUCCAAUUACAUUUUAAAUUCUCUGAAUAUAAUGAGAAAUUGGUACCAGCUUCAGAGGGGCAUGCAGAGAGACUGAAAGAGAGUUGGACAACUCUAGAAACCACCAAACUCCCUCUGUAUCUUUUGGCCUGGACUUUUUUGAUAGCUCCAUGUUCCCAGGACCUGGCACAAGUGUUCCAGCAGUCUCUCUAUAACAGCAAUAGUAUUUCUUUUCUUUGAUUUCUAUAUAUGCAGCUGUGAAAAUUCUUCUGUUGACUCAAUUGUUAGCUCUCAAGGGAUGCUUAUCAGUGCUUUAAAAAUUAAAUUACUGGUGGCUUCAUACAAAUGAAAGGAAGCUUGUCCCUAAUCACAUAAUAGUCACAAAUAGGGUAUCAGCCUUUUUUGGGGCACAUACACCCUAGUAUUACUUUUAAUGUGCUACAGACUGCAGCAGAUACCUUAAUUUUUGUUGGAAGUCUCCAUAACCAUGAUCAGUGCAUGUACAUUUACUUUUCCUUGUUGGGAUGCCUGUGCUGCUGGAACAGAGUGCUGUUUUCCACAUUCACUAUUGGCUGACAUUUUCUUUUGCUUUCCAUACUCAAUGUCCUAGACCAGGGUCUCUGUUUCUUGGUCCUUACCCCUGCUAGUAACUUUGUUCUCCUAGUCUAGUACUUGUUAUUGCUUAUGUUUUUGGAGGACUGUUCAGAUGCACUGUAGUCUAGAGGCAUGUUUUUCUAGGCAAACUCUUCUUUCUGCCAUGAAAGUUUCUUGUCAGCUCAAAAGACAUAUCCUGCUCUUAAACCACUCACUUAUCUGGAAGGUCAUAUAGGUCUCCAUGAUUACAUGUGCAUACGACUGCUUUCAGCUGUGAGCAUAAAAUUUGUGGUUUCAUUUUAUUGUGGGUAAGCCCUACCCCCUUUA
rnacentral:lncRNA from 1 species